ACGCUGGCGGCGUGCCUAAUACAUGCAAGUCGAACGGUCUUUCUAUGGAAGCUUGCUUCCACUGAGAAGAUAGUGGCGAACGGGUGAGUAACACGUGGGUAACCUGCCCAUAAGAGGGGGAUAACAUCCGGAAACGGGUGCUAAUACCGCAUAGUUUCUUGAUCGCAUGAUCGGGAAAGGAAAGACGGCCUUUGUGCUGUCGCUUAUGGAUGGACCCGCGGCGUAUUAGUUAGUUGGUGAGGUAAUGGCUCACCAAGACGAUGAUACGUAGCCGACCUGAGAGGGUGAUCGGCCACAUUGGGACUGAGACACGGCCCAAACUCCUACGGGAGGCAGCAGUAGGGAAUCUUCCGCAAUGGACGAAAGUCUGACGGAGCAACGCCGCGUGAGUGAAAGAAGGUUUUCGGAUCGUAAAACUCUGUUGUCAGAGAAGAACAAGUUGGAGAGUAACUGCUCCAGCCUUGACGGUAUCUGACCAGAAAGCCACGGCUAACUACGUGCCAGCCGCCGC
rnacentral:rRNA from 1 species